UAAGGAAUAUUGCUCAAUGGGAGAAAUCCUGAAGCAGCAACGCCGCGUGGAGGAUGAAGGGUCUAUGACUUGUAAAUUCCUGUAAAGAAGGAAAAAAUUCCCAUUAGAUGGGAGAUGAUGGUACUUCUGGAGUAAGCCCCGGCUAACUACGUGCCAGCAGCCGCGGUAAUACGUAGGGGGCAAGCGUUGUCCGGAUUUACUGGGUGUAAAGGGUGCUCAGGCGGAUUUGUAAGUCAGAGGUGAAAUCUUACAGCUUAACUGUGAAACUGCCUUUGAUACUGCAAGCCUAGAGUAUGGAAGAGAGUGAUGGAAUAUCUGGUGUAGCAGUGAAAUGCGUAGAUAUCAGAUAGAACACCAAUGGCGAAGGCAGUCACUUGGUCCAUUACUGACGCUAAAGCACGAAAGCGUGGGUAGCAAACA
rnacentral:rRNA from 1 species